GCGGACGUGGCGGAAUUGGUAUACGCGCUAGCUUGAGGGGCUAGUGCUCGCAAGGGCUUGAGGGUUCGAGUCCCUCCGUCCGCA
rfam:Parcubacteria (Thrbacteria) bacterium GW2011_GWF2_41_16 TT48_C0005, whole genome shotgun sequence.